rnacentral:rRNA from 1 species
GACGAACGCUGGCGGCGUGCUUAACACAUGCAAGUCGAACGGAAAGGCCCUGCUUUUGUGGGGUGCUCGAGUGGCGAACGGGUGAGUAACACGUGAGUAACCUGCCCUUGACUUUGGGAUAACUUCAGGAAACUGGGGCUAAUACCGGAUAGGAGCUCCUGCUGCAUGGUGGGGGUUGGAAAGUUUCGGCGGUUGGGGAUGGACUCGCGGCUUAUCAGCUUGUUGGUGGGGUAGUGGCUUACCAAGGCUUUGACGGGUAGCCGGCCUGAGAGGGUGACCGGCCACAUUGGGACUGAGAGACGGCGCAGACUGCUACGGGAGGCAGCAGUGGGGAAUAUUGCACAAUGGGCGGAAGCCUGAUGCAGCAACGCCGCGUGCGGGAUGACGGCCUUCGGGUUGUAAACCGCUUUCGCCUGUGACGAAGCGUGAGUGACGGUAAUGGGUAAAGAAGCACCGGCUAACUACGUG